rnacentral:rRNA from 1 species
CCUACGGGGGGCAGCAGUAAGGAAUAUUGGUCAAUGGAGGCAACUCUGAACCAGCCAUGCCGCGUGCAGGAAGACAGCCCUUGGGUCGUAAACUGCUUUUAUCUGGGAAUAUGUACCAGAAGAAUAAGGAUCGGCUAACUCCGUGCCAGCAGCCGCGGUAAUACGGAGGAUCCAAGCGUUAUCCGGAUUUAUUGGGUUUAAAGGGUGCGUAGGCGGCCUGUUAAGUCAGGGGUGAAAGACGGUAGCUCAACUAUCGCAGUGCCCUUGAUACUGACAGGCUUGAAUGAACUAGAGGUAGGCGGAAUGUGACAAGUAGCGGUGAAAUGCAUAGAUAUGUCACAGAACACCGAUUGCGAAGGCAGCUUACUAUGGUUUAUUGACGCUGAGGCACGAAAGCGUGGGGAUCAAACAGGAUUAGAUACCCUUGUAGUC